UUUUUUWCUCUGCUCAGGACGAACGCUGGCGGCGUGCCUAAUACAUGCAAGUCGAGCGGACAGAUGGGAGCUUGCUCCCUGAUGUUAGCGGCGGACGGGUGAGUAACACGUGGGUAACCUGCCUGUAAGACUGGGAUAACUCCGGGAAACCGGGGCUAAUACCGGAUGGUUGUUUGAACCGCAUGGUUCAGACAUAAAAGGUGGCUUCGGCUACCACUUACAGAUGGACCCGCGGCGCAUUAGCUAGUUGGUGAGGUAACGGCUCACCAAGGCAACGAUGCGUAGCCGACCUGAGAGGGUGAUCGGCCACACUGGGACUGAGACACGGCCCAGACUCCUACGGGAGGCAGCAGUAGGGAAUCUUCCGCAAUGGACGAAAGUCUGACGGAGCAACGCCGCGUGAGUGAUGAAGGUUUUCGGAUCGUAAAGCUCUGUUGUUAGGGAAGAACAAGUGCCGUUCAAAUAGGGCGGCACCUUGACGGUACCUAACCAGAAAGCCACGGCUAACUACGUGCCAGCAGCCGCGGUAAUACGUAGGUGGCAAGCGUUGUCCGGAAUUAUUGGGCGUAAAGGGCUCGCAGGCGGUUUCUUAAGUCUGAUGUGAAAGCCCCCGGCUCAACCGGGGAGGGUCAUUGGAAACUGGGGAACUUGAGUGCAGAAGAGGAGAGUGGAAUUCCACGUGUAGCGGUGAAAUGCGUAGAGAUGUGGAGGAACACCAGUGGCGAAGGCGACUCUCUGGUCUGUAACUGACGCUGAGGAGCGAAAGCGGNNG
rnacentral:rRNA from 1 species